rnacentral:rRNA from 1 species
ACAAUAUACAAGGUGCUGCAUGGUUGUCGUCAGCUCGUGCCGUGAGGUGUCGGGUUAAGUCCCAUACGAGCGCAACCCCUAUCCAUUAGUUGUCCAUCAGGUCAAGCUGGGGACUCUAAUGAAACUGCCUACGCAAGUAGUGAGGAAGUGGGGAUGACGUCAAAUCAGCACGGCCCUUACGUCCAGGGCUACACACGUGCUACAAUGGCCGGUACAAAGGGCAGCUACCUGGUGACAGGAUGCUAAUCUCAAAAGCCGGUCUCAGUUCGGAUCGGAGUCUGCAACCCGACUCCGUGAAGCUGGAAUCGCUAGUAAUCGUGGAUCAGCAUGCCACGGUGAAUACGUUCCCGGGCCUU